rnacentral:lncRNA from 1 species
GUUGAAAAUAUUUGCUUUUAUAGGAGAUGUGCCGCUAGUGGUGCUGGUGUAGCUCGUUUUGUCUUUCUUUGUUAUUGCUUUAACCAUUCUGGUUGUGGUUGCCUCUGGCCUCUGUUUCGCUUUUGAAGUGUAUUACUUGCCCAGAAAAUGGCACGAUCGUCCAGAAAAUGGAGCAGAAAGAGAUCUUUCAAAGGUAAUCGGUCUUCUGAGAAAAUGUCUUCAUGGACGAACACAGAGCACCAAUGAGACGCUCAACCAACUCAUCUGGUGCCGCUGCACUAAGACAACAUUUGUCAGUGCUGACACAUUGAAGACAGCAACUAACGAUGAUGUACCCUACUACAAUGACGGUAAUUCUGCACGAAAAACUCUUCUGGGGGCCCUUGAAAUUGUUCAAGGUGUGUUUUGUAAUAUUGUCCUCAACAGGAUGGAUAAAGAUCGUGUUGACAGGGCAGAAUUCUAUGACUCUGCCAAGAGCAAGGAAAGGCGACAGAAAAAAAAAAGAAUUAAGAAGGAUUUUAGAGACACCAGCAAGAAAGCCAGCAGUAACAUAUUCUGCGGCAUUUUGAGCAUCCACAAGUAGCAUACGAACACAAAACUUCAUUUUUCUCAAAUUACGUUUCUUAUGAUUUUCUAAAAUGCAAUGCACCUUUUCUCAGAAAGUAUUAACCCGAUUCCAGUGAAACAUUGCACACAUGUACUACAACAAGUCAUAAAUAUUCUG